GACGAACGCUGGCGGCGUGCUUAACACAUGCAAGUCGAACGGUGAAGCGCCUUCCUUUUUGGUGGGUGUGGAUGAGUGGCGAACGGGUGAGUAACACGUGAGUAACCUGCCCCCUUCUUCUGGAUAACCGCAUGAAAGUGUGGCUAAUACGGGAUAUUCUGGGUCUGUCGCAUGAUGGGUCUGGGAAAGAUAUUGUUUCGGUGGGGGAUGGGCUCGCGGCCUAUCAGCUUGUUGGUGGGGUGAUGGCCUACCAAGGCGGUGACGGGUAGCCGGCCUGAGAGGGUGGACGGUCACGCUGGGACUGAGACACGGCCCAGGCUCCUACGGGAGGCAGCAGUGGGGAAUAUUGCACAAUGGGCGCAAGCCUGAUGCAGCGACGCCGCGUGAGGGAUGGAGGCCUUCGGGUUGUGAACCUCUUUCGCCAGUGAAGCAGGCCUGCCUCGUUUGUGGGUGGGUUGACGGUAGCUGGAUAAGAAGCGCCGGCUAACUACGUG
rnacentral:rRNA from 1 species